UAAAGCAAGAAAGGGCGUAUGGGGAAUGCCUAGGCACACUCCGGCGAAGAAGGACGCAGCAAACAGCGAAAUGCGACGGUGAGCGGUAAGCACGUGAAGAGCCGUCGAUAUCCGAAUGGGGGAACCCACACGGAGUCAUAUCCGUGUAUCACAUGUCGAAUACAUAGACAUGAUGAGGCGAGACGCAGGGAACUGAAACAUCUAAGUACCUGCAGGAAGAGAAAAUAAGAAUGAUUUUCUGAGUAGCGGCGAGCGAAAGGGAAAGAGCCCAAACCGAUCUGAGGAUCGGGGUAGUAGGAUCAUCGAUAAAUCAAACAGAGGAUCAUAGAGGAAUCACAUGGGAAGGUGAGCGAGAGAGGGUGAGAGCCCCGUACUCGAAAUGAGAGACUGGAGAGAGAUGACACCUGAGUAGGGCGGGACACGAGAAAUCCUGUCUGAAUCAGCCGGGACCAUCCGGCAAGGCUAAAUACGAGAGAGUGACCGAUAGUGAACCAGUACCGUGAGGGAAAGGUGAAAAGAACCCCGGGAGGGGAGUGAAAGAGAACCUGAAACCAUAUGCCUACAAGAAGUCAGAGCCCGUUAAAGGGUGAUGGCGUGCCUUUUGUAGAAUGAACCGGCGAGUUACUGUAUGGAGCGAGGUUAAGCAGGAUAUGCGGAGCCGAAGCGAAAGCGAGUCUUAAGAGGGCGCGAGUUGCAUGCAGUAGACCCGAAACCGGGUGAUCUAGCCAUGACCAGGUUGAAGUUGGGGUAAAACCCGAUGGAGGACCGAACCGACCCCCGUUGAAACGUUGGCGGAUGAGUUGUGGCUAGGGGUGAAAUUCCAAUCGAACCCGGAGAUAGCUGGUUCUCCCCGAAAUAGCUUUAGGGCUAGCGUCGAGAGAAGAGUUGCGUGAAGGUAGAGCACUGAAUAUGUGAUGGCCCCAUCUCGGGGUACUGAGCAUAAUCAAACUGCGAAUGUCACGCCAACAUGCUCGGCAGUCAGACAGCGGGUGAUAAGGUCCGUUGUCAAGAGGGAAACAGCCCAGACCAUCAGCUAAGGUCCCAAAAUGUAUGCUAAGUGGAAAAGGAUGUGGAGAUGUACAGACAACUAGGAGGUUGGCUCAGAAGCAGCCAUCCUUUAAAGAGUGCGUAACAGCUCACUAGUCGAAUGACUCUGCGCCGAUAAUUUACCGGGGCUAAGCAUACUACCGAAGCUAUGGAUCCCAAGGGAUGGUAGGGGAGCGUUCCAUGAACGGAGAAGUACGACCGAAAGGACGUGUGGAGAUCAUGGAAGAGAGAAUGCCGGUGUGAGUAGCGGAACGUGGGUGAGAAUCCCACGCACCGAAAACCCAAGGUUUCCAGAGGAAGGUUCGUCCGCUCUGGGUAAGUCGGGACCUAAGGCGAGGCCGAAAGGCGUAGUCGAUGGACAACAGGUAGAGAUUCCUGUACCCGUAUAUAUGUGAAGGAAUGACGGAGAGAGGAAGCUGCAGCCAGCGGCUGGAAGAGCUGGUGCAAGCGAGAUAUCGGGAUGGCAGGCAAAUCCACCAUCCGAAACGAGAAGGCGUGAAGCGUACGGAAAGCUAAGGCGAGUACGGAAGGCAGUGGAGGAGCUUCCAAGAAAAGUUUCUAACGAAAGUAUAUGUGACCCGUACCGAAAAUGGACACACAUGGGUGAGGAGAGAAUCCUAAGGUGAGCGAGAGAACUAUAGCUAAGGAACUCUGCAAAAUGACUCCGUAACUUAGGGAGAAGGAGUGCUCAUAGAGAUAUGAGCCGCAGUGAAACGGCCCAAGCGACUGUUUACCAAAAACACAGCUCUCUGCUAAGCCGCAAGGCGAAGUAUAGGGGGUGACGCCUGCCCGGUGCUGGAAGGUUAAGGGGAGGGGUUAACGCAAGUGAAGCCCUGAACUGAAGCCCCAGUAAACGGCGGCCGUAACUAUAACGGUCCUAAGGUAGCGAAAUUCCUUGUCAGGUAAGUUCUGACCC
rnacentral:rRNA from 1 species